GUCUAAGGCCAUGCCACCCUGAAUGUGCCCAAUCUCAUUUGAUCUCGGAAGUUAAUCAGUGUCGGGCCUGGUUAGUACUUGGAUGGGAGACCACCUAGGAAGACCAGGUGUUGUAGGCA
rfam:Pteropus alecto contig7123, whole genome shotgun sequence.